GAUUUUUCAAGUCAGAUGCAGCAUCUUCCGCAGCACAUCAACGGUUUGUUCGCGCCAUCGGAUCUGAAUUUCAGGGACUGAUUAACACGAUACCCAAGUGCUUUUGUUACCUGGGGUCUUCAAGCUUCAUAUCCAGAUCUGUGAAGAGUUCCUGAGAAUGGCAAAACUCCAAAGCUGUUGUCAGUUUUCCACACAAAAUAAGCCGUCAGUCAAAGAAUCAAGUCCCAAAUGAUGACAAUCAUCCAGA